rnacentral:rRNA from 1 species
AAAUUGAAGAGUUUGAUCAUGGCUCAGAUUGAACGCUGGCGGCAGGCCUAACACAUGCAAGUCGAACGGUAACAGGAAACAGCUUGCUGUUUCGCUGACGAGUGGCGGACGGGUGAGUAAUGUCUGGGAAACUGCCUGAUGGAGGGGGAUAACUACUGGAAACGGUAGCUAAUACCGCAUAACGUCGCAAGACCAAAGAGGGGGACCUUCGGGCCUCUUGCCAUCGGAUGUGCCCAGAUGGGAUUAGCUAGUAGGUGGGGUAACGGCUCACCUAGGCGACGAUCCCUAGCUGGUCUGAGAGGAUGACCAGCCACACUGGAACUGAGACACGGUCCAGACUCCUACGGGAGGCAGCAGUGGGGAAUAUUGCACAAUGGGCGCAAGCCUGAUGCAGCCAUGCCGCGUGUAUGAAGAAGGCCUUCGGGUUGUAAAGUACUUUCAGCGGGGAGGAAGGGAGUAAAGUUAAUACCUUUGCUCAUUGACGUUACCCGCAGAAGAAGCACCGGCUAACUCCGUGCCAGCAGCCGCGGUAAUACGGAGGGUGCAAGCGUUAAUCGGAAUUACUGGGCGUAAAGCGCACGCAGGCGGUUUGUUAAGUCAGAUGUGAAAUCCCCGGGCUCAACCUGGGAACUGCAUCUGAUACUGGCAAGCUUGAGUCUCGUAGAGGGGGGGUAGAAUUCCAGGUGUAGCGGUGAAAUGCGUAGAGAUCUGGAGGAAUACCGGUGGCGAAGGCGGCCCCCUGGACGAAGACUGACGCUCAGGUGCGAAAGCGUGGGGAGCAAACAGGAUUAGAUACCCUGGUAGUCCACGCCGUAAACGAUGUCGACUUGGAGGUUGUGCCCUUGAGGCGUGGCUUCCGGAGCUAACGCGUUAAGUCGACCGCCUGGGGAGUACGGCCGCAAGGUUAAAACUCAAAUGAAUUGACGGGGGCCCGCACAAGCGGUGGAGCAUGUGGUUUAAUUCGAUGCAACGCGAAGAACCUUACCUGGUCUUGACAUCCACGGAAGUUUUCAGAGAUGAGAAUGUGCCUUCGGGAACCGUGAGACAGGUGCUGCAUGGCUGUCGUCAGCUCGUGUUGUGAAAUGUUGGGUUAAGUCCCGCAACGAGCGCAACCCUUAUCCUUUGUUGCCAGCGGUCCGGCCGGGAACUCAAAGGAGACUGCCAGUGAUAAACUGGAGGAAGGUGGGGAUGACGUCAAGUCAUCAUGGCCCUUACGACCAGGGCUACACACGUGCUACAAUGGCGCAUACAAAGAGAAGCGACCUCGCGAGAGCAAGCGGACCUCAUAAAGUGCGUCGUAGUCCGGAUUGGAGUCUGCAACUCGACUCCAUGAAGUCGGAAUCGCUAGUAAUCGUGGAUCAGAAUGCCACGGUGAAUACGUUCCCGGGCCUUGUACACACCGCCCGUCACACCAUGGGAGUGGGUUGCAAAAGAAGUAGGUAGCUUAACCUUCGGGAGGGCGCUUACCACUUUGUGAUUCAUGACUGGGGUGAAGUCGUAACAAGGUAACCGUAGGGGAACCUGCGGUUGGAUCACCUCCUUA